UGCCAGCCGCCGCGGUAACACGUAGGGACCGCGCGUUGUCCGGAUUUAUUGGGCGUAAAGCGGGUGUAGGCGGCUUGGCAAGUCGGGUGUGAAAUCCCUGGGCCCAACCCAGGAACUGUAUCCGAAACUGCCUCGCUAGAGUCCCGGAGAGGAUGGCGGAAUUCCCGGUGUAGAGGUGAAAUUCGUAGAUAUCGGGAGGAACACCAGUGGCGAAGGCGGCCAUCUGGACGGUGACUGACGCUCAGACCCGAAAGCGUGGGUAGCAAACAGGAUUAGAUA
rnacentral:rRNA from 1 species